CCUACGGGAGGCAGCAGUGGGGAAUAUUGGGCAAUGGAGGAAACUCUGACCCAGCAAUGCCGCGUGAAUGAAGAAGGUCUUCGGAUUGUAAAGUUCUUUAGUCAGGGAAGAAUAAAAUGACGGUACCUGAAGAAUAAGCUCCGGCUAACUACGUGCCAGCAGCCGCGGUAAUACGUAGGGAGCAAGCGUUGUUCGGAAUGACUGGGCGUAAAGGGUGCGUAGGCGGUUAUACAAGUUAGAAGUGAAAUACCCAGGGCUUAACUCGGGUGCUGCUUCUAAAACUGUAAGACUUGAGUGCAGUAGAGGUUAGUGGAAUUCCUAGUGUAGCGGUGAAAUGCUUAGAGAUCAUACAGAACACCGAUUGCGAAGGCAGCUUACCAAGCUACUUCUGACGUUGAGGCACGAAAGCGUGGGGAGCAAACAGGAUUAGAUACCCGUGUAGUC
rnacentral:rRNA from 1 species